AGCACUUGAGCUUUUUCAUUGUGCUUGUUUUAAAAAUCACAACAAUCACAUUCUUUGUGGUAUCCAAGUAAACAUUUCCUCGAGUGCGUAUGUUUCUGCCUCUGAACACGUGAACUGCAACCCCGCACCAGGUGUCAAGACACCUAAGCCCCAGAGCAAUUCAUGAACCAGGGGAAGAUAGACAGAGGAAAGGCUCUCGUUCCUGUGGGGCCCGAUUUGGCCAUAUGUAUAAGGGAGGACACGAAAAUGUUGGUGCAGAAAAAGUUCAGCUGCUAAUGCUAACUGUGUGAAGAGGCAGUGAAGUGGGAACUUGCGGAAUCGAAGCAUCCCGUGCAAGCUUCCAAUUACACCAGCGGCAGCCAUACAGAAUGCAAGACAGCAAUGUUUGACCCCAAAGCGUUAUUUAAAUUAGAAACCUUGCACCAAGAUUGGAAAGCAACAACCCUGUUCCUGCGUUUUUAAUAACACAUUUCAUUACUGUUGCCCAUCGCUUAGGACACAUUUGAAUGCUUGAAAUUAACAUUGUUUUCACUAUCGAUUUACCCUUUUCUUUCUGUCAACUAUUUAUGUACUUAGGGUACAACAACAGUGCAGCUGGGAAAGGCAAUUCCCAGAUCAGUUAGACAUACACAUACUAGGUCUGCUGCCACCGUGCUAAAUUUACAUGGAGCUCAAGAGUCUUAUACCGUUCUACUUACUAGGCU